GCCAUCGUGGUGAAACCGGCAAACACACCAGUCUGAGAGGCUGGCGCGCCGAAGAGCGCAUCUGGGUUCGACUCCCAGCGAUGGCA
rnacentral:tRNA from 2 species